CCCAAGGCCCCACCCUCCCCGUGAGUCCAUCGCCAAGCUUUACUUACAGAUGCGGCGUGGGCGAGGCCAGGUCCUGUACCUGUGGGUCCCUGGAGAGCGACAGCGGGAGCCCAGGUGGGAAGGACGCCCUUGGGCUGAGGGCGCCCGGGAGGCUUUGCGAAGAAGACCUGAGAGGAGGGGCUUCGGGUGUGUAAGGAUGGUGGGCGGGGGCCCCUGCGGCCUCCAGGAGGAAGGCGCCUUCUGUGCCUCGCACAGCAAGAGCCUCCUCUCCCGUUCACGGGGAGCAUCGCCCCUUCCCACUCAGAGUGUCGCCCACACCCUGCCUGGGAGCUGGUGACGCAGGGGAGACGGCGUGAGGAGCCGGGCUGGUGUCAGGUGGGCCCCUGGGGCCACCUCGCAGCCCCGUGAGUGAGCUGCUCGGGGUGAGAUGGGACCAUAGCCCCCCACGCCCCGGGGUUCCUGCCAGGAGUCGAUGAGCUGGGCCGGGCGGGGGCUCAGAUCCGCAGCUCAGGGCCUCGGUGCUCGGGACCCCACAGGGGCUGUGGUGAUGCCUGUUAUUAUCAGGAGCCGACGCAGCUGCCACGAGGACGGGCCUGGCCUGGCGCUGGCCCCAGAGGGCCCCUACCCCCUCCGCUUGCUCCCUCUGGCCUAUCCCUCCUCCGUGUGUCACAGUAGGUGAAAUGGGAACAGGCCGGGACAAUCCUGCCACACCCUUAUCUGAAACUGUUGCUCAUUAAGACCAUUUACAGAUUUUUUUUUUUCUAUCACAUUUUCAAUCCAAGGAAGCCUGACAUUGUAAGAUGCUCAAGGAUGCUAGGAAGGCCUGGAUGUUUCCCUACCAAUCAACUGAAUCUCUGGUAGUUCACCUUGGAUAACGUGACUGAACGUAAUUUGGGAUGAUAAAUAGGAUGGAAAGCGUAUUUUCAGGCCUGUGUAAUGGAGUCGUCUUGGAAUUGAUUAAAUUGAUGCAAUGUUCUGGCCCGUUCCAAGUCUUCCUGGUAAUACCUGUACUGCCUACUGCCAGUUCUGGGAGGAGACCUCAAGGAACAUUCAUGAAAGGGGAGAUUCUUUUCCAAUACCCGUCUUCUUUCGUGACUGCGCAUCUUCUCCCCUGAGGGAAGCACCACAGUCCUGGAUGGCCAAUGAGUUAAGACAACAAAACCUUGAGAAGUGCACAGCCUGAAAACAGAGGAGCCAUGGUACAGCUUCCAUACUGCAUGAACCUCACACGGACGGAUGCCAACCCAGCCUACGCUGAUCAACUCGGCAAGCAACAAGCAAGCAUUAUCUACCAGGUUAAACCCUUUGGAACGUUGGUAGACAGGGUACCUGUUCAAAGUGCGCGUAUAGGCUGCGGGUACAUGGAGGCUCUAUUUCACUAACUCUUCAUUUCGUUAUGGCCAAGGAGCAGUAUUUUGUGUAUCUGUUUUUUUCUUUCUUUUUUUUUUUGUUUGCGGUACGCGGGCCUCUCACUGCUGUGGCCUCUCCCGUUGCGGAGCACAGGCUCCGGACGCGCAGGCCCAGCGGCCAUGGCUCACGGGCCCAGCCGCUCCGCGGCAUGUGGGAUCUUCCCGGACCGGCGCACGAACCCACGUCCCCUGCAUCGGCAGGCGGACUCUCAACCACUGCGCCACCCGGGAAGCCCGAGGCUGCCUUUUUAAAGAAGGAACCAAUGGCCUCGGGAACCUAGAUCUGCACACACAGCCCUGGCCUGAGUUCACACGGAGAAUCAACAGAAGAAAUAACAGUGAUUUUCUUUGUUUGCCCACAGGGUCCGAAAAAGAAAAAUAUUUAACUGCACCGCUUCUGGGAACGUGAGAAGCAAAUGUCCUGAUAGGGGCAGGCCUGUGACUUUAAUGCUUUACCAAUAACGCAUGUAAUUACCUACUGGGGAGACUGGGAGGUGUGGCUUCUUAAGGAUGUGGCUGAGGAAUAAGGGAAGCAGAGCAGCAUGGUGGGGGGGGACCUCAUCAGAGAGCACAGCCCACAUCUCCCUGUGGGACGGCCUCCCGGUGCCCUGAGAUACCGGCUCCCUCCCUGGAGAAGCCAGACUAGACGAGGCAGUCUUCUUUCCAAGAGGCUCUCAAAGGGAAAUGAGGAACUUCACUGGCCUCCUGGUAGUCAGGCUGGUCCAACAGGGAGGGGUUGAGGGACCCCAAAGUCCAGUGCAACUCCCAUUUCUGUCCACAUCUCAAGCCACUUAGGACAAUCGUGUUUGCCCAAGUCCCAGGUGUUGUCUUACAAAACCGUCGCCAGCAUCCCUGCUUCACCCAGCCAAAUGCCUGAACUCUCUCUUGUCUCUGGAAUACAGAUCAGCAGACAUUAUCUGCCUCCGGAAUUCAUGUGCUGAUGCGCCAGUCUUGCUUACGACUGUGAAUAGCUCCAGAAGAGACUUUUCUUUUUCUUUCUUUUCUUUCCGUUUUUUCUUUACCCCUGUGAUUGCAAGCCUAACUCCCGUCAUUCAAUUUAUUUUCACUCAAAAAAUAAAUAAAUUUCACCCACAAAUAAAGAAAAUUUUGAAAGCCUUUUGCACCACGGCCCUGGCGCGAGGGUGAGCUAUUGAAGGGAUGUAUGGGUGAGUCCCUCACAUGAAUCUUAACCCUCUUCUGGUACCGCUACCUCUUGCGUCAGAGGAAGAGAAUUCUAACGCUGCUUCUCUGAAGCUCACGCCUCAACCGUGCUCCUGAGCCUGUCUCUGCCAUUGUCCUCUCCUGCCCCUGGCUCCUGGCUCAGCCCCCCUCUCCAUCCCUGGUCCCACCAUUGCUCAGGCGAGGUCAGGGUCCACGCGGAUGCCUCCUGGUCUCUUGGCCCCCUCGACUCCCCAGCUCCCAUGAUCUUUCCCUGGGUGCCCCCAUCCUCCCCAGGCACACGCGGGGUCUUGUCCUCCCGACAUUCACGCCCGAGUCUGGAGUGUACACAUCCCGCAGCCUCUUCAGGCAUCCCCACUGCUCCCCCCAGAGGAGCUCAGGCACCAACUCCUUUACUUUCUCCAAACCAUCAGUCCUCUGCUUUGUUAUGCAGACAAACUGCUGUUUGAACAGCAUCCGUACCCCGGCCUGCACACACACCCCCAACUCCCCCCAUGCUCGCCUGGACCAGCUCAGCUCCCUGCUUCAUCUGCUGCAGGGCUCUCCCUCCCAGGGUGCAGCCCAGCAGCUCAGAAAAGGUGGCUCAGGAUCCCCCGGCCUGCUGGCCCUGCCCCA